rnacentral:rRNA from 1 species
CCUACGGGAGGCUGCAGUGAGGAAUAUUGGUCAAUGGACGGAAGUCUGAACCAGCCAUGCCGCGUGCAGGAAGACGGCUCUAUGAGUUGUAAACUGCUUUUGUACAAGGGUAAACCUGAAUACGUGUAUUCAGCUGAAAGUACUGUACGAAUAAGGAUCGGCUAACUCCGUGCCAGCAGCCGCGGUAAUACGGCGGAUCCAAGCGUUAUCCGGAUUGAUUGGGUUUAAAGGGUGCGUAGGCGGAUUGGUAAGUUAGAGGUGAAAUGUCCGGGCUUAACUCGGGAACUGCCUGUAAUACUGUUGAGCUAGAGAGUAGAUGCGGUAGGCGGAAUGUAUGGUGUAGCGGUGAAAUGCUUAGAGAUCAUACAGAACACCGAUUGCGAAGGCAGCUUACCAAUCUAUAUCUGACGUUGAGGCACGAAAGCGUGGGGAGCAAACAGGAUUAGAUACCCUUGUAGUC